AAAUAUUACAAUUUCAGGGGCUUUUCCUCUGGGUGCCCAUUUGAUUCGAAGUCGAAACGGAUUAUAGAUGAGAUGAAUGCCAGAGGAAAUAUAUAUAGUGGCACUCAUCCCCGGGUACGGUACUCGUACAUUGGGCCAUUCAGAAAUUCCCAUUGGGCGAGUCCCAGCAGCUGAUUCAUGCCAUGCCGGAGCCCAGAGCCAAUUCCGUAUCCGAAUCAAAGCACACACACACACACACAUGCAACCGAUCGCCCACACCACACCGAUCGGUGACUACGUUGUGGCACCCCCACAACAAUGGCAACAACAAGUAGGCGUCCUUCGACCAUGCCAAAUUCCAAAAUUCUUGCGUCGUUCGUCGGUCGUCGACAUCGACGUCAUUUCGCCCGCCAUCCUCUGCCUCUGCCUUUGCCUCUGCCCCUCUCCACUCCGGUCCGCACUGCUCCGGGCUAUACGUAAAUAUUUACACAUGUCUUACAAGAGCUGGCAAUUUUUCGCUGUCGGAUAUAGUGUCGUGGGAGGAGUGUGUAUGUGUACGGAUUGCGAUUUAAAUGGAUUUGUCUCAUUGCAUUCAUUGCUCCCGAUUCGAUACGAAACGGUCCAAUCCAAUCCGAUCCGAUCCGACAGUUCAAUGAAGUGGCCGGAGGAAGGAGAAUCCGUAUGUUAUACGAAUCAGGAAUGCAGAUCUUUAUAGAUUGAUCAAGGGAACGUACAUAUGUACAUACGAGUGGAUCCUUUUGGCGGGGAGUGCAAUCAGCGCCAGUGCCAGUGCCAGCGCCAGCGCCAGCUGCCUUCGAAUCUUCAGUUUGGAGAGCACGACAUCAUAACAAUAAAAAAAUACUAACAAUUUGGCAGCGGCGUACAAUUUGCGUCAACAGCACUUGCCUCUCAGGCCCCUAGUAUAUAUAUAGAUGGCAAAUAGAAUAUAUAGAUUUAUCCAUAUAUGUACAUAUAUAAAUACUUUUGUACAUACAUAUGGAUGUGUGUAUGUGUAGGCACAAAGCGAACGGACCAAGUGCCCUGUUUUAUAUAUAGAUCUAAGGAUGAGCCAUCGGCAUUCAUCUUCUGCGCCACAAUGCAUACCCUGCCACCCGCCAAACGCCAACCGCCCGCCGCACACAGUACUAAUAAUAAUCAUAAUAUUAAUAAAAACAUAUGCUUAGGCAGCCGCUGCGUAUGCGCAAUUUACCCAUUACGUAUACGGUACAGAAAGCAGAUGCCAAAAGCCAAACGGAAAAACAUGUCCAAAUUAGGCAAU
rnacentral:sRNA from 1 species